AGAAGUUUAGGAUAAUAAGUCCAAGAGCCUUCAAAGCUCUAAGCAUACAUUAAAUUGUUUAACUUCUG
rnacentral:tRNA from 1 species